rnacentral:miRNA from 1 species
UCCUCAUUUAGGAAUAUGUGUAUACACACACACAUACACACACACACACAUAUAUGUGUGUGUGUAUGUGUGUGUGUAUAAUUUUUAACUUGCA